CCAAUCAGUGAAGCUUGACUUUACCAGUAAUUUGGUGGCCUGAUACUAUAUGUUUCCUGAUGCAAUGCAGUGAGAAGUAUGCACAUCGCCUAUAAAGUGUUCUUGCUUGAAAUGUUGAACCAAAUCUAAUCAUGAUGAAACAAGUUAAUCCAAGAUGUUGGGCAUUCUGCAUGAUGGUUAUCCUGGACUUCCCAAAGGAUUUGAAGUCAUCAAAAAACAGAGGAGACAAUGUUCAAAGAUUGAGAACUACUAAAGAUAUACAAUAGCUACGCUGUGAUUAAAAUUUCAUUGGAAAUUAAAUCAGAAAAAAAUAGAUAAUAUUUUAGGACAAUUUGAGUACGUUUGCAAAUGCUCUUAUUGAAUUAAUGAUUAUUUUCUUAGGUGUGGUAAUGGUGUUGUGAAAGAGAAGACUCGUACUCUUGAAAGGAGUGCCAAAGAAGUAUUAAGAGGUGAAAUUUCAUGACAUUGGUAGACCAUUUUCAGAAGGUUGGGCCAAAAGAAAGAACGUACCCACAGAGACAUGUUGUUGACAAAUAUUCACUGCACCAUUCCUUCAACUUUUUGGAAUACAACUUUGGUCAUUGUCCCCAGCAAAAGUGGCACUACCCUGGCCUGAGCAGAGGCUAGACCCACCUAGCAAUGUACUGCAGCCUUGUGGCUCUUUCCAAGACAACCACUCUGGAAGACACGGAGUCUAGGUGCUGCCAUGGAGGUAUGAUAGUCCCGACCACCGCCUCCAGGAAAUCAUCUCCCAGCACAUACUAGGUGAUACACACAUCACCGAAUCACACUUAUUAAGCAGUAUUACCAAGUGCUAUUAAGUGUUAUUUGCACUGUUAGUGUUACUAAGCGCUGUGAGAGCAAACCCUAGCCAAUCACUCUCAAAGCUGUUCCUCACAGGUUUGGUCUAUUUAACAAGCCAAGCUCACCGUUAUCUAACACACUGAGAUGUAGCCAGCUCCCUUUGCUUGCUCUUCUCUCACACACACGCUCAUUUUCCCCACACUCAAACAUGUGCAGAAUAUCCUCCAGGACCUCACUCUGGCUAAGUGACCGAAAAGGAAAGGAAAGUUAAGAAAAUAGACAUAGCCUUUUUUUGUAGUAUAUUUUUUGCCACUAGAAGUGAAAUCGUUGACCCAUAAAUCCAAACAAAUUAUGUUUUAGCUGGAUCCCUUUCAAAUCAUAAUAAUCAAGAAAGCUUCAAAUAACUGAAAUGCAAGUUACCAUUUAUGGAAGCAUCAAGAUAAA
rnacentral:lncRNA from 1 species